AUUUGAGAAACAUGAUGUCCUCAUCAGGAAAGUCGAACCUCAUAGGUUGGUAAUCAUCAAUCGGUUGCGUGGCAAGAUAGUCUGACAAGACACUUCCUUUGAUGGCUUUUUGUGAAGUGUAUUGGAUGUCAUACUCUGUGAGCAUCAUUUGCCACCUAGCAACCCUGCUGGCUUUUCAAAAAUAUACUUGACUUGAUCCAUCUUUG
rnacentral:lncRNA from 1 species